CAGUGUUUUCCGGGCCAAAGCCCAGUCCAGCUCCUGGCCAGCAGCCUCUGCCACCUUAAUAACCAGUCCCCUCCUAAGUGAGCAGCGGUCUUAGUUCCAGCAUGUUUCCGCCAGGCAGCUGGCUUUGUCAUUUCCCAAUGUCCUGGAGGUCAACAAGGCCAUGCUGUGGCCUCCUUUCAACUGAGGGAGCUGAGCCCACUGAGGGCCCUGGAGCCUCCUGGGGCCUUCCGCUCUCUGCUUGGGAAGCCACAGGCCUGAGGUCACUGGGAGAAUUUCCAGCGGCCCCCAAGCCUUGCAGGAGCCACGGCCUGUGGAGCGUGUCCUUCUCUUUUGAUUGGGUGUCCCCUGGGGCCUUGGUGGGCAGGGGCUGUGCUGCGUGGAGGUGGGGGAGGGGCGUGGAGAAGAAUCAGCUCAAAACCAAAAUCAGUUUCCCCUCCUGUGUCCUCGGGGCCCAGGUCCCCCCUGUGACCCCAGUGUGAGGGGUUCCCCCCACAUGCCACACGUUCAGCCAUCGGGUCAGUCGUGGACGCCGGCGGGGUGUCCUGUAACACAGUUCACUGUCUAUCUGGAGGUAGCGGCGGACUCCACAGGCUGAGGGCUCCGUGCCCAAGACUGUCCCCUCCCCUUGAGAUGCCAGUCACAAGUCCCAGGUGGUUCUGCGUGUGCUUCUGACCAACCAGCUCCCAAUCGGGGUCCCACAGCCCCCCCUGCAGGUCAGCAGAUUGCUGGGGAAGCUCACGGGGGCGUGGUGCUGGCUUAAGGGACAUUGGGAAGGAGGGGAGAUGCACAGGUGAGGUCUGGGGGAAAGGGUGUGGAGCUCCAGCCCUCUCAGGUCCCCCCUGCAGGGCCUCGCUGUGCCCCGCUCUCUGGAGGCCUCUGAACCUGUCCUUUGGGGCUUACGGAGACUCUGGUGCGUGGGCACCGUGGAGAGUGGCGGGCAGGCACCCAGCGAGGCCUGUGCAGGCCUGUGUGUUCAGACUUCCAGCAUGGCUCCCUCAGGGGAGUCGGGCAAGACCCCUGGAAUGAGGAGGGUGUGGUGACCUGCCUUCACACCUGGGUAGGUUGGAGGUGUCUUUGUGUCCUCGACAGAUGGGGGAAGAUUAAAGUUCCUAUGGCCUGUGUCAAGAAGAAGAAGUUUGCAUUUCUUGUGUGUGUGUGUGUGUGUGUGGGGGUGGGUGUGGGUGUGUGUAGCACUGGGGUGGAACCCACGGGUGCUCUACCACUGAGCUACACCCCCAGCCCUUUUUAUUGUAUUUUGAGACAGGGUCUCACUGAGUUGCUGAGGCUGGCCUUGAACUUGUGACCCUUCUGCCUCAAGCCUCUGGAGUAGCUGAGAUCAUAAGUGCACAGGCCAUGCCUGACUCAAAAAUUCCAGUUUCUUUGACCUCCCAUGGGGAGGGAAUGUAUAUCUAUCUACAUACAAAUACAAGUAAAAGUACAACAGUCUCAUGGUAUCAGAGAGCUGGAAGGCAAUUUAAAAAAUGUUAAGGGCAGCCAGGUAGGAGGUGCACGGCCCGGGACCCAGAGACCAGGGAAGCCGUGGGUGAUUUUAAGUAGUAUUUAUUUUAAAAUAAAAUAAAAACUAAAAAAGGAUUGGGGAUGUAGCUCAGUGGUAGAGUGUUCCUGGAGUCAAUCCCUGGUACCAAUAAAUAAAUAAAUAAAUGAUGAUGAUGAUGAUGAUGAUAAUAGUAAUAAUAAUAACAGCAAUGGUAAUAAAUAAAAAUAUUAAAGCAGGAUACAAAAUCACAAAUGCAGUAAAAAUCUUCACGAUAAAAAAAUAGGUCUGGAAAAGACUCAUGGGAACAGAAAUAUGAGCAUUAAUAUAGCCCUUGAAGGAUGGGAUGCCUCUCUAUUUUUUUCCCUAGUUCUCAGAUUUUCUUUUUUGUUUUUUAAAGUUAAGGGGAAAACACCACAUUAAAACAAAACAAAACAAAACACUGUUCCAUCAAGUGCGGUGGCACACACCUGUAAUCCCAGCCGCUCGGGAGGCUGAGGCAGGAGGAUCAUGAGUUCAAAGCCAGCCUCAGCAACAAUGAGGCGCUAAGCAGCUCAGGGAGACGCUGUCUCUAAAUAAAAUAUAAAAAAGGGCUGGGGAUGUGGCUCUGUGGUUGAGUGCCCCGAGUUCAAUCCCCAGUUCCUCCCUCCAUCCCCAAAAAACCACUGUGCUUUACAACUCUUAAUGCAACAUGACUUCGUAAGGCAAGAGAUGGGCCAGUGUUGGGGACACGGCAGGAGGGCUUGCCUGUUGAUGGUAGGAAGGCGGAAGACCAGCGAGGAGCCAUCCAGGCCAGCUUCCAGGAGGAGGCAGGUUCCUGGUUCCAUGUUUCCUUCAUCAAGAGAAGACAGAUCUCUCUGAGCCACCAUAUAACAAGUUCGGCCUCCAGCACUAGGAGCCACCCGUUAACUCCUAGACCAUCUGUGUGGUGACAAGUGAGAUCAAAUGAUCAGGCUGAAGAUGCCAUGUGGGUUCUCAGGGAGGGGCUCAGACAGGGGCCAGGUCCCGGUGGCCAAAAAUCAGCCCUUGGUGAAAGGCAGGGACUCCUCAGCGGGAGGUGGGCAAGGCUUCUGCUGACGCCCCGAGCUCAUGGUGGGAUGGAGGGGUGAGCAGCCAGGCAGUGCGGGGCAGGGCCAUAGCAGGUUUCAGAAGCCGAAGUGGCUGUGGCACCUUGGCCAGGCCAGUGGGAGGAGGACCCUGUGACCCCCCCACUGUCCAGGUCUCGCCCCUCUUGACACUUUCUGCCUUCCCCUUAAGGAGGCCAGUGGUGGGGCACCUGGAGCGCCCUGGGCUAUGGCAGGAAUGUCUGUCCCCGUGCCAGCCUCCUUCCCUCUGCCUUUACGGAGGGCAGUGGCCUCUCUUUUACUCUCCGUUGAAGGAGGCCCUGCUUUCUGGUUGUCCACCUGGUACCUGCGCUGGCUGUGGACACACCAGAGGUCGGGGCAGGAGGACUAGACCGCGCCACGGCUCCUGAGCUCCUGAGCCCCUCAGCACAGGGACCCUUCCCCGGAGCCAAGCUGCUGGGCUCCAGGGUGGGAGAGGCUCUGGACUGGCCUGGCCAGACUCCCCAGCAGGCGGACCUACUGUGGGGCUGCUGGGGAGUGAAGGCUGGAGCCCCAAGUUUGUGGGACACUGAAGCAUAACCUCCCCCCCCCCCCCCCGCAGGGACCAGCCUGUGACUCCCAGACGGACCCCAGGGAGCCUCGGGCCAAUGUUCCCCGAGAGCCUUUCAGCUCUGACCCCGGGAUUCUCUUCUGUCCUGGGCUGUCAGACUGGGCCUCUGUCAGGACUGGGCAGAGGCUGGGGUCUGGGGCAAUGAGGAUGAGUCCCCACCUUCUAGGGGGACUGGGGGACAUUCACAGGUGACUGCAUAGGCACUAAGGGAGGCAGGAAGCCCAGGCCAGGCUGCCCUUCCUCCAGGAUCUGAGGCCCAGGCGUGCAGCUGGGCUGCCAAGGCAAGGCCUCCCCAGCCUUUGGUCUCAAAGCUAAUAAGGAAGUGCAGGAAGCCUUGGGCAGCCUGCAGGGCCCAGGACGGCUCUGUCCCCGCAGGGCAGGCUCCUGCUAGGCUCUUUGCUCUUCCCUGCUGCCAGGGAGCUACAACCUCUAUGAUUCCUCAUUUAAAAACUUCCAGGCAGGCAGGUGGCACACGCCUGCAAUCCCAGUGACUUGGGAGGCUGAGGCAGGAGGAUUGAGAGUUCAAAGCCAGCCUCAGCAACUUGGUGAGGCCCUGAGUUACUCAGUGAGACCCUGUCUCUAAAUAAAAUAUAAAAAAGGACUGGGGUGGGGGCUCAGGGGUUGAGCGUCUCUGGGUUCGAUCCCUGUACUUUCCACACCUCUCUCCAGGGAGGGUGAUGCAGAGGUUCUACAGCUUGAAAACUCCAUCUCAAAGAAAGAUCUAGAAAGGACAGUUCUUUGUCUUAUCUGGUGGCUGCAACAACGUGCUCUGGAAACCCCGCGGCCUCCGGCCUUCGCUGACUCCUGACAUAACCUAGCCCAGACCUCGUGAGCCUGGUGCCUGGGGAAAGGUGGCUUUCUGGACCCACUGGAGCUGCCCCCGUGGCGUGACCUGGCUCAGAGCUGGGCCUGGGUGCCCUCUGGGUGUGGCUGCAGAAAGCUGAGUUCUCUCUGGCUGCCACACUCCCAGGGCAUGUCCUCCGACUGGCUCGAGUCCCUUGGAGCAUGCCCGGUGCUGGUGACAUCAGUGAGCGCUGUACAGUUCAGAAAGGCACAGCCUGCCCCCGCCUGGGACUUCCUCCCUCACCCCCUCCCCAGCUGCCCCUCCAGUGUCCGGCUUAUGUCCCCAGCGUGCUCAUGUGCAAACACACACGCACGCAUGUGCACUCACAGUGCCAGAAGCAGUGCACGCUCACAAGAGCCAGCCUGACCCAGAGAGCUCCCUCCUGGGAGCUGGGCAGCUGCUGCCCAUGGGCAGGACCAUCUGUCCCUCCCACGACUCCCAGGUCCCCAGAGGCCUCCAGCAGGCCCCCUUUCCCCGCAGGGCAGCUCAGUUUCCAUAUGGAUUUCCACAGAGGCCUCCC
rnacentral:lncRNA from 1 species